GACGAACGCUGGUGGCGUGCCUAAUACAUGCCAGUAGAACGCUGAAGAGAGGAGCUUGCUCUUCUUGGAUGAGUUGCGAACGGGUGAGUAACGCGUAGGUAACCUGCCUUGUAGCGGGGGAUAACUAUUGGAAACGAUAGCUAAUACCGCAUAACAAUGGAUGACACAUGUCAUUUAUUUGAAAGGGGCAAUUGCUCCACUACAAGAUGGACCUGCGUUGUAUUAGCUAGUAGGUGAGGUAAUGGCUCACCUAGGCGACGAUACAUAGCCGACCUGAGAGGGUGAUCGGCCACACUGGGACUGAGACACGGCCCAGACUCCUACGGGAGGCAGCAGUAGGGAAUCUUCGGCAAUGGGGGCAACCCUGACCGAGCAACGCCGCGUGAGUGAAGAAGGUUUUCGGAUCGUAAAGCUCUGUUGUAAGUCAAGAACGGGUGUGAGAGUGGAAAGUUCACACUGUGACGGUAGCUUACCAGAAAGGGACGGCUAACUACGUG
rnacentral:rRNA from 1 species